GACGAACGCUGGCGGCGUGCUUAACACAUGCAAGUCGAACGGAAAGGCCCUUCGGGGUACUCGAGUGGCGAACGGGUGAGUAACACGUGGGUGAUCUGCCCUGCACUUUGGGAUAAGCCUGGGAAACUGGGUCUAAUACCGAAUAGGACCACGCGCUUCAUGGUGUGUGGUGGAAAGCUUUUGCGGUGUGGGAUGGGCCCGCGGCCUAUCAGCUUGUUGGUGGGGUAAUGGCCUACCAAGGCGACGACGGGUAGCCGGCCUGAGAGGGUGACCGGCCACACUGGGACUGAGAUACGGCCCAGACUCCUACGGGAGGCAGCAGUGGGGAAUAUUGCACAAUGGGCGCAAGCCUGAUGCAGCGACGCCGCGUGAGGGAUGACGGCCUUCGGGUUGUAAACCUCUUUUAAUAGGGACGAAGCGCUAGUGACGGUACCUAUAGAAGAAGCACCGGCCAACUACGUG
rnacentral:rRNA from 1 species